GGUGAAAAGCACCCCGGAAGGGGAGUGAAAUAGAACCUGAAACCGUGUGCUUACAAGUAGUCAGAGCCCGUUAAUGGGUGAUGGCGUGCCUUUUGUAGAAUGAACCGGCGAGUUACGAUUUGAUGCAAGGUUAAGCAGUAAAUGUGGAGCCGUAGCGAAAGCGAGUCUGAAUAGGGCGUUUAGUAUUUGGUCGUAGACCCGAAACCAGGUGAUCUACCCUUGGUCAGGUUGAAGUUCAGGUAACACUGAAUGGAGGACCGAACCGACUUACGUUGAAAAGUGAGCGGAUGAACUGAGGGUAGCGGAGAAAUUCCAAUCGAACCUGGAGAUAGCUGGUUCUCUCCGAAAUAGCUUUAGGGCUAGCCUCAAGUGAUGAUUAUUGGAGGUAGAGCACUGUUUGGACGAGGGGCCCCUCUCGGGUUACCGAAUUCAGACAAACUCCGAAUGCCAAUUAAUUUAACUUGGGAGUCAGAACAUGGGUGAUAAGGUCCGUGUUCGAAAGGGAAACAGCCCAGACCACCAGCUAAGGUCCCAAAAUAUAUGUUAAGUGGAAAAGGAUGUGGCGUUGCCCAGACAACUAGGAUGUUGGCUUAGAAGCAGCCAUCAUUUAAAGAGUGCGUAAUAGCUCACUAGUCGAGUGACACUGCGCCGAAAAUGUACCGGGGCUAAACAUAUUACCGAAGCUGUGGAUUGUCCUUUGGACAAUGGUAGGAGAGCGUUCUAAGGGCGUUGAAGCAUGAUCGUAAGGACAUGUGGAGCGCUUAGAAGUGAGAAUGCCGGUGUGAGUAGCGAAAGACGGGUGAGAAUCCCGUCCACCGAUUGACUAAGGUUUCCAGAGGAAGGCUCGUCCGCUCUGGGUUAGUCGGGUCCUAAGCUGAGGCCGACAGGCGUAGGCGAUGGAUAACAGGUUGAUAUUCCUGUACCACCUAUAAUCGUUUUAAUCGAUGGGGGGACGCAGUAGGAUAGGCGAAGCGUGCGAUUGGAUUGCACGUCUAAGCAGUAAGGCUGAGUAUUAGGCAAAUCCGGUACUCAUUAAGGCUGAGCUGUGAUGGGGAGAAGACAUUGUGUCUUCGAGUCGUUGAUUUCACACUGCCGAGAAAAGCCUCUAGAUAGAAAAUAGGUGCCCGUACCGCAAACCGACACAGGUAGUCAAGAUGAGAAUUCUAAGGUGAGCGAGCGAACUCUCGUUAAGGAACUCGGCAAAAUGACCCCGUAACUUCGGGAGAAGGGGUGCUCUUUAGGGUUAACGCCCAGAAGAGCCGCAGUGAAUAGGCCCAAGCGACUGUUUAUCAAAAACACAGGUCUCUGCUAAACCGUAAGGUGAUGUAUAGGGGCUGACGCCUGCCCGGUGCUGGAAGGUUAAGAGGAGUGGUUAGCUUCUGCGAAGCUACGAAUCGAAGCCCCAGUAAACGGCGGCCGUAACUAUAACGGUCCUAAGGUAGCGAAAUUCCUUGUCGGGUAAGUUCCGACCCGCACGAAAGGCGUAACGAUUUGGGCACUGUCUCAACGAGAGACUCGGUGAAAUCAUAGUACCUGUGAAGAUGCAGGUUACCCGCGACAGGACGGAAAGACCCCGUGGAGCUUUACUGUAGCCUGAUAUUGAAAUUCGGCACAGCUUGUACAGGAUAGGUAGGAGCCUUUGAAACGUGAGCGCUAGCUUACGUGGAGGCGCUGGUGGGAUACUACCCUAGCUGUGUUGGCUUUCUAACCCGCACCACUUAUCGUGGUGGGAGACAGUGUCAGGCGGGCAGUUUGACUGGGGCGGUCGCCUCCUAAAAGGUAACGGAGGCGCUCAAAGGUUCCCUCAGAAUGGUUGGAAAUCAUUCAUAGAGUGUAAAGGCAUAAGGGAGCUUGACUGCGAGACCUACAAGUCGAGCAGGGUCGAAAGACGGACUUAGUGAUCCGGUGGUUCCGCAUGGAAGGGCCAUCGCUCAACGGAUAAAAGCUACCCCGGGGAUAACAGGCUUAUCUCCCCCAAGAGUUCACAUCGACGGGGAGGUUUGGCACCUCGAUGUCGGCUCAUCGCAUCCUGGGGCUGUAGUCGGUCCCAAGGGUUGGGCUGUUCGCCCAUUAAAGCGGUACGCGAGCUGGGUUCAGAACGUCGUGAGACAGUUCGGUCCCUAUCCGUCGUGGGCGUAGGAAAUUUGAGAGGAGCUGUCCUUAGUACGAGAGGACCGGGAUGGACAUACCUCUGGUGUACCAGUUGUCGUGCCAACGGCA
rnacentral:rRNA from 1 species